AGAGUGGCAGGAGAGGCACAAGGAUACAUCAGAGUGGAUGCAGGAUCAACAGUCUGCAAGCAAAUGGAGCAAUUGGCAACAUGGUGUUACCCAAAUAUACCAAUAGAAGGGAAAUAAUAUAAGGAGAUGGGAUAAGUGCUGAUGCAGAGAAGAAUCAAAGGAGUUGUGUAGAUUUAGGGCAUUGCUAUUCGGGUGUUCAAAUGGUUUUACUGCAUUUUAUUUGUUUUUAUUUAUUUUUUAUUAUUAUAUUUAUUAUUUUAUUUAUUUUAUUUAAGUAAACCAACUGCUCAGUCCAACAUCACACUGGCCUCUCUUUUGAGGCACAAUAGUUCUCCUUACUUGCACUGUGAAUAUCUACUGUAUCUGCCAACACUGCUUUAUAUUUAUGCUGGAUGACACCUUAAUUCUCUAUAGAACAGGAGUAUUAAACUCAUGAAAGUUUUAGUGUCUCUGCUUUCCCCUUUGAAUCAAAUCUCUCUAGUAUAUAUAGUGCAGAAACCAUUUUUGCCUCCAGAUUAAGAUUUUCAAAUAUGAAGGCAUGUAAAUAUUUUGUCAAUUUCAGCAUUUUGAGAUGGUGGAAUAUUUAUCAAUUAAACAGGUCACAGCUGAAUGAUACAAGGCUAACUUCCAGUCCUAACUAUGAUGGAGCAUCUAUUGUAAUGGAAACAUGCUGCUAUCUAAAGGUCACAAUCCUCAAAACAUAGGAGCCAAAAAUCAAGACCUGAAAUCCAUAUUUAGGCAUCUGGGAGCUGCAGUUAAAUCAAUCUUGAAAAAUCAGACAGGUACCUAACUAUGGAGUUAAACCUGUUUUUGAAAAUCUUGGCCUUAAUGUCACAUGGUGACCAAUGGGGGAUUUCUGCCCUCUUAUAAUGUAAUUCAUUUUAUUAUGACUUAGAACACUAUGCAGUUAUACCACCACAACUUAACACAUCACAAAGCCCCUUAAAAAGGUGUUUAAAGUAUCUGAAGGUCAAUGUCACAUUAUUAGACUAUUUUACAGUACGAGUCACCACAUUUCUGGUAUGGUGACACUUCAACAGCAAAAAUCAUUAAAAAACCUACUUUUGCCAGACAUUACCACAGGGUUUCUGCUGAGAGCUUCAGCUCUCUAGUAAAGGGAAAGCCGAUCCCAUUAACUAAUAUGUUAAUGGUAAGGACUGUAAUUUUUUACUUAGCAUCCAACCAGAAAUCCUCUCUCUUCAUACAUUCUUUAUUUACCAUAAAAGUAAUUAAGAUUUUAAAGCUAAAAUUAUUUCUGUAUUUGGUGUUAUCCCAUGAUAGUUUACAAGAUGAACAAUGCCAUCGUUAUUACAGAUAAACAUGAGUGAAUUCUAAUGAAUGGUGUUGAUUUAGCCCACACAAAAGCUAAACCUCUCCAAGGUCCUUCUUAUGGAGAUUUGUCCACAAUGGCUUCACCUAGAGGGUGGACUAUGCCCUCUCUGUACUCCAACCAGCCUACAGAGCUGGCCCUGGACUGCUGGUAUUCGGAAAUUAGCAAAUAGCCAGGGCCAUUCAUGCAGAGGCCUUGUCCUGCCAAAGUUUUCACCCCUUCCCCCGGGCAGCAUUGUUCCAGUGGAUAUGGUUUCAUUGAGGGCAGCUGCCUCAGGGAUCCCUCUAAAGGUAGAGUUCCCACCAUGAAAAUGGCAGACGGCCCGAUUUCCACAGGGCUGAUGGGGAGACAAUGUGUGCUUCACCCCAUCCACCAACUCUUUUUCCCAUCCCCAUGCGCUGAUCCCCUAGAUUCAUGACUCUAUGGGCUCCAGGAGGGAAGGGGGAUGCUGCAUAGGAGGGGUAUUAUUUGGAUCAGGGGGAUAAAAUCAGGACAUCAGUUAAUUAGUGUUCACUACCUGCAACUGGCACGGAUCCCACUCCCUUUUUCAAACAAUGGCAAAACUCUUCCCCGACUCAAAUGGAAUCAGGAUGGAGCCUAUAAUCCUUUCCUCAACAAUGAAUUUCUCGCUAAUAUGAAGUGUGGCAGACAGUUAUUUCAUAGGUUUCUUCUUUUUUUUUUUUUUUUAAAGAAAAAAUUAGUGUACCAAUUUCUUAGAGUUUAAGACCACAGGAGACCAUUAGUUCAUCUAGUCUGAUCUCCUUUAUGUCACAGGCCAUUACAUCGAAUCCUAACAGUGGUACUGGUACAUUACUUGAUGGAAAUGGUAAAUUGUCAAAAACAACAGAAA